AAACUUACUUGGUUGGGAGGAUAUCUCGACCGUGAAGGCGGACAUGCACGGUGAGAUUUGGCCAUUGCACUUUCGGCCUGGUUGACCUAUGUGGCAUUACCAAGUUGGGAUUAGCAAACAGCGUAAUUUUUGCAUUUGGGGGUAGCGUUCGCGCUUCCCCGC
rfam:Ascaris lumbricoides genome assembly, scaffold: ALTE_scaffold0000851